rnacentral:tRNA from 1 species
AAGGGAGACCUAAUUCAGGUAGGAGACGAAAAAAAAGUAGUCGCUACCAAGAAUCAAUCCCAAAAGGUCGGAGCGAGGCGAAAUUGGCUUUCAAACUAGGUUCUGGGUUCAAACAAGACCUGAAUCAGGAACAAGGGCUAUUAGCUCAGGUGGUUAGAGCGCACCCCUGAUAAGGGUGAGGUCCCUGGUUCGAGUCCAGGAUGGCCCACCUGCACAGGUGGCAAAAACAAGAGAAGCGAGGAAUCAGCACCUUAUCUUAUAUACAUAUAUAAGAGAGAAUGCUGGCUCUGAGUACAGAGUCCAGAGGAACCUUGAAAACUGCAUAGAGCUAGGUGAAAAAGCCAAAAAAGAAGACCGCAA